GAUUAACGCUAGCGGGAGGCCUAACACAUGCAAGCCGAGCGGUAUUGUUUCUUCGGAAAUGGGAGAGCGGCGUACGGGUGCGGAACACGUGUGCAACCUGCCUUUAUCUGGGGGAUAGCCUUUCGAAAGGAAGAUUAAUACUCCAUAAUAUAUUGAACGGCAUCGUUUAAUAUUGAAAGCUCCGGCGGAUAGAGAUGGGCACGCGCAAGAUUAGCUAGUUGGUGAGGUAACGGCUCACCAAGGCGAUGAUCUUUAGGGGGCCUGAGAGGGUGAUCCCCGACACUGGUACUGUGGCACGGACCAGACUCCUACGGGAGGCAGCAGUGGGGAAUAUUGGUCAAUGGGUGCAAGCCUGAACCAGCGAUCCCGCGUGAAGGACGACUGCCCUAUGGGUUGUAAACUUCUUUUGUAUAGGGAUAAACCCACCCUCGUGAGGGUAGCUGAAGGUACUAUACGAAUAAGCACCGGCUAACUCCGUGCCAGCCGCCGCCGUAACAC
rnacentral:rRNA from 1 species